rnacentral:rRNA from 1 species
UACGUAGGGGGCGAGCGUUGUCCGGAUUUACUGGGCGUAAAGCGCGUGUAGGCGGCUGUCUAAGUUGGGUGUGAAAGCCCGGGGCUCAACCCCGGGACGCCGCCCAAGACUGGACGGCUUGAGGACGGAAGAGGGGCGUGGAAUUCCAGGUGUAGCGGUGAAAUGCGUAGAUAUCAGGAGGAACACCGGUGGCGAAGGCGCUCAUCUGGCCCAAUACUGACGCUGAGGCGCGAAAGCGUGGGGAGCAAACGGG